rnacentral:rRNA from 1 species
AUUGAACGCUGGCGGCAUGCCUUACACAUGCAAGUCGAACGGCAGCACGGGAGCCAUCCUGGUGGCGAGUGGCGAACGGGUGAGUAAUAAAUCGGAACGUGCCCAGUAGUGGGGGAUAACUGAUCGAAAGAGCAGCUAAUACAGCAUACGACCAGAGGGUGAAAGGGGGGGAUCGGAAGACCUCUCGCUUUUGGAGCGGCCGAAAUCAGAUUAGUUAGUUGGUGGGGUAAAGGCCUACCAAGGCAACGAUCUGUAGUUGGUCUGAGAGGACGACCAGCCACACUGGGACUGGGACACGGCCCAGACUCCUACGGGAGGCAGCAGUGGGGAAUUUUGGACAAUGGGCGCAAGCCUGAUCCAGCAAUGCCGCGUGCAGGAAGAAGGCCUUCGGGUUGUAAACUGCUUUUGUCAGGGAAGAAAUCCUCUAGGUUAAUACCCUUGGGGGGAUGACGGUACCAGAAGAAUAAGCACCGGCUAACUACGUGCCAGCCGCCGCAGUAAGAC